rnacentral:rRNA from 1 species
GACGUAGGUGGCGAACGUUAUCCGGAAUUAUUGGGCGUAAAGGGUGCGUAGAUGGCAUGAUAAGUUAUUGGUGGUAAAUCGAGGCUCAACCUCGUGGAAGCUGGUAAUACUGUCAUACUUGAGUGCAGAAGAGGUUAACGGAACUCCCUGUGGAGCGGUAAAAUGUGAAGAUAUAGGGAAGAACACCAAUAACGGCGAAGGCAGUUAACUAUUCUGUUACUGACAUUGAGGCACGAAAGCGUGGGGAGCAAAACGG